rnacentral:rRNA from 1 species
UCAAGUUAUUAAGGGUGCAGGGCGGAUGCCUUGGCACUAGGAGCCGAUGAAGGACGUGAUAAGCUGCGAUAAGCUUCGGGGAGUUGCACGUAAACUUUGAUCCGAAGAUUUCCGAAUGAGGAAACUCACUUAGAGUAAUGUCUAAGUAUCAUUAAGUGAAUACAUAGCUUAAUGAGGGGAACUCAGGGAACUGAAACAUCUAAGUACCUGAAGGAAGAGAAAGAAAUUCGAUUCCGUAAGUAGCGGCGAGCGAACGCGGAUUAGCCCAAACCAAUAAAGUUUUCUUUAUUGGGGUUGCGGACAUAUCAUAACGAAGAGGUAUCGUAAUUGAAGAGGUUUGGAAAGACCCACCACAGAAGGUAAUAGUCCUGUAUGUUAAACGAGAAGACUUCAGAUAUGAUCCAGAGUACCACGGGACACGUGAAACCCUGUGGGAAGCAGGAGGGACCACCCUCCAAGGCUAAAUACUACCUAGUGACCGAUAGCGUAUAGUACCGUGAGGGAAAGGUGAAAAGAACCCCGGGAGGGGAGUGAAAUAGAACCUGAAACCCUGCACUUACAAGCUGUGGAAGCACAUUUCUUGUGUGACCGCGUACUUUUUGUAGAACGGGCCAACGAGUUACGUUAAGUAGCAAGGUUAAGCACUUAAGGUGCGGAGCCGUAGCGAAAGCGAGUUUUAACUGAGCGUUCAGUUACUUGACGUAGACCCGAAACCGGGCGACCUACCCAUGAGCAGGAUGAAGCGAAAGUAAAAUUUCGUGGAGGUCCGAACCCACGAGCGUUGAAAAGCUCGGGGAUGACUUGUGGGUAGCGGUGAAAUUCCAAUCGAGCCCGGAGAUAGCUGGUUCUCCCCGAAAUAGCUUUAGGGCUAGCCUCAAGGUGAGAGAUACGGAGGUAGAGCACUGAAUGUCCUAGGGGGUAUUGCACCUACCGAAGACUAUCAAACUCCGAAUGCCGUCAUCUUAUACUUGGGAGUCAGACUGUGGGUGAUAAGAUUCAUAGUCGAAAGGGCAACAGCCCAGAUCGUCAGCUAAGGUCCCUAAAUGUAAGUUAAGUGGUAAAGGAUGUGGGAUUGCACAGACAACCAGGAUGUUGGCUUAGAAGCAGCCACUCAUUCAAAGAGUGCGUAAUAGCUCACUGGUCGAGUGAUCCUGCGCCGAAGAUUUCCGGGGCUAAAACUUACUACCGAAGCUACGGCAUCAGUAAUGAUGGGUAGGGGAGCUUCCCAUACGGGUUGAAGCAUGACCGUAAGGACAUGUGGACAGUAUGGGAGUGAGAAUGUUGGCAUGAGUAGCGAGAUGUGGGUGAGAAUCCCACAGGCCGUAAACCCAAGGUUUCCAGGGGAAGGUUCGUCCGCCCUGGGUUAGUCGGGACCUAAGCUGAGGCCGAAAGGCGUAGGUGAUGGACAACAGGUUGAUAUUCCUGUACUACCGAUAACCGUUUGAGAGAAGGGAUGACACAGUAGGAUAAGCUAAGCACACUGUUGGUUAUGUGUGCCCAAGCAUUGAGGCAGUCAAAGUAGGCAAAUCCGCUUUGAUAAUGCUGGGAUGUGAUGGGGAGCGAAAUUUAGUAGCGAAGUAGCUGAUUUCACACUGUCAAGAAAAGUCUCUAUCGAGGUUAAAGGUACCCGUACCGCAAACCGACACAGGUGGGUGAGGAGAGUAUCCUAAGGCCAGCGAGAGAACUGUUGUUAAGGAACUCGGCAAAAUGACCCCGUAACUUAGGGAUAAGGGGUGCCACCAUCAGGUGGCCGCAGAGAAUAGGCCCAAGCGACUGUUUACCAAAAACAUAGGUUUCUGCUAAGUCGCAAGACGAUGUAUAGGAGCUGACGCCUGCCCGGUGCUGGAAGGUUAAGGGGAUCUGUUAGAGCAAUCGAAGCAGUGAACUUAAGCCCCAGUAAACGGCGGCCGUAACUAUAACGGUCCUAAGGUAGCGAAAUUCCUUGUCGGGUAAGUUCCGACCCGCACGAAAGGCG